UGGGCAGUUGGUGAGAGCUGCUGGUGUGGGGCAGGAGAAGCCAUAAGGCACUAAAAAUAACAGCACACCUCACAUCUAUCUGGAUGGCUGUUAUCAAAAGAACAGAAAGUAAUGCUGAAUUGAAUGGUCUUAAAAGAGUGAACAUGUAUUGCAGAUGCCGUGAGAGCUAUGAUGGUGAAACUGCUGAUCUUCCUAGUACUUUAAAAAAGACUUUCUACAAAGAUCCUUUCUAUUUUGUGUGUUUGUUGUUGCAAAUAAGUACUUGAUUAGAGGCCAAGCGAAAGCUGGUGGUUUUUAUCUCAUGAAGGUUAGGAUCUGUUUUGUUUUCCAUGGAUGCUAGAAGUUGUGAAUGGAAAAAUGAACAUCAUCUUUGAGUAAAGACAUUUU
rnacentral:lncRNA from 1 species